rnacentral:rRNA from 1 species
UACGUAGGGUGCGAGCGUUGUCCGGAAUUAUUGGGCGUAAAGGGCGCGUAGGCGGCCUGGCAAGUGGAAGGUGAAAUCCCUCGGCUUAACCGAGGAACUGCCUUCCAAACUGCUUGGCUUGAGUUCGGGAGAGGUGGGUGGAAUUCCCAGUGUAGAGGUGAAAUUCGUAGAUAUUGGGAAGAACACCGGUGGCGAAGGCGGCUCACUGGACCGAGACUGACGCUGAGGCGCGAAAGCGUGGGGAGCAAACAGG